UGUAACACCGGUAACUACCCGGACCUGACACCGGGGCUCUGCCUGCGGCUCUGCUCGGUGUUCCCGUCCUAUUCUAAGAGCUCAGUGGCGCUGUUUUCAGAGUGAAGCUCCUCCCGCUCCUCCCGCUCCUCCGUCUCAUUCAGUCUCUCCUGUGAGAAGGACCGACUGCACGUACGGAUCUCUGGAGCUCUCCACCGUUACAUCAAACAGAGAGAUGAGCAGACAUGUGUUUUACCCUGGGAGAAUGGCUGUUUCAUUCCGACAAGUCUGCAGCUGUCAGGGAGGAGCUGGUCAGGCAGAACGCACUGACUGUGGUCCGCCAGAGAGGAGGAGACCCUUCAGAUACAACCGAGGUGUCUGGAGAUUACAUCCUGCAGUUCGGGAAGUACAAGGGGAAGUCCUUCCGCUAGCUUCUGGAGAAUGACAUUGGAUACACCAUCUACCUCAUCAGGAACCAGCAAAGAGAGGAAGCUGCAGGAGUGUUCAUGGCAGCGGGGCACAACAAGGACAGCCUCCUGUCCUUUGUGAACUAUUCCCUCAUGUUUCGAUAAAUCCAGUCUCUCCUCAACUAUGAGGAACACAAGCCAGUUGUGACAGCAGCAGCAUCGGAGGAUGACCAGCUGGUGGGUUUUGGGACUCGUGCCUACAGCACCUGGCGAGAGGUCUGGGAGAGCAGGGAGGACGGCUAUGCAUCCUUCAUCCUGAAGAAGAAGAACUGCACUGCAGGCACAAAGAUGCAUUAGCUUCAACUCUACCUGAAGAAGAAGCUGCAGCCACCCACUGUCUCCCCUCUGAUGUCACACGCCUCACCUGUGAUGUCACACGCCUCACAUGCUCCUGCUGAAGCCAUUGUGAUGGAUGAAGAUGAAGAGCUGGAGAGGAUGAUGCUGAGCAUCUCUCCUUCAAAGCAACAUGUGCAGAGCUCUGUUUCUGCAUCUUCGUCAUCCUCCUCAUCUGCCAGACGACGAGAAAGAGGUCUUUAACCCAGAGCACCGUGCUGCCGACCGACACAACUGGGACCAUGAGUUCCUCUCCCACAUGCAGCAGGACUUCCUGGUGGUGUCGACCGUGUUCUGGUCCUGUUUGUCUUUUGGUGUUCCACCUGUUGUCCUCGUGACGAUGAAUGGACUCCGGUCCUGAUGAGGUGUCACAGGCGCUCCUGAUUUCUCCUGAGACGUCUGCAGAGCCCGGUCAACUGCCAACUCCACAGAGAGGGCAAAGUGAGCCAUUCCCCAGGCCAAUAGCCGUCCCCACCGGUCCUCCUCCACAGCUUCCUGGCUGCCACCAUGACGUCAGCCAGUGGACCUGUUCACAGCAGCAGAGGAUCUGAUGAAGACGAGCUGGAAGCUAUGGGUUGCUUCUGUGGGAUGGGACUGAAGCAGGGCCCAAACAGCCCUCACAUUCACACCGGGUUCCCUGGGGUAGCAGGGAAGUACGUUUAUUGUCCUGCCAAAGUACUUUCCCUGUACAGAGACCAAGGCAUGGAGAAGGAGAUGACGUGGAGAGAGUUCCAGGCGUCUGCCUUCUAUGAGACGGGAAAAACAGAUGGGCCGUUUACAAGAGCAAAUAAGAGAGAUGAGCAGUGUUGUGUCAUGUAUAUAUCUUUUCUUAUUUUAAUAAUUACAUUCUUUUAUUAUAUAAAUUACAUUUGUUUUACUGUUUGUGUGACCUUGCACUAUGGGCUGUGUGUUCAAUAUUUACUGUCCCUGUUGUGAAUAAAUAUAUUUCAUGGACUAAUGUCUCCAUGUGUCAUUAAUAUAUGAAUCAUUAUAGUGAACAGUAAAGACAUAUUUAAUUUAAGUAAUUGCAAUUCAAAUGUUUAUGAGAAGAAAAAUGUAAUAUGUUACAUAUAGGUUAUAAAUAAGUCAAGUACUGAUAUAAUCUGUCUGCCACUGGGAUAAAGUGACACUCCAAAAAUAGCAAAGUAGGAAACACUUUUCUUGAUAAACAGCGUCCAAACGUGGCUUUUCAGGACAUUGGACAGCGUAGAUAAUACUGCAAUUUCAUUGGCUGUCAGUGAAUUCCCACUAUCCACGUCUUGCCCCCGCCAAGUGCCGAGUGUUUUAUUCCACUACACUAGUGUGUCGGGACAAUUAAAGAUGGCACAAAAGGUUAAUUUAUCCUUCUAUUUCUUCUUUCCUUGACGCCCAGCGACAGUUUGCAUGAAAACAAUUGACAUAUACGUAAUAAUACAAAUAUAAUAAUAACGAAUUAAGAGUGUAUAUAUAUAUAUAAAUAAGAAUAAAUCAGAGUUAAUAAUAAUUAAUUCAAAGAGUUGACCAAUAAAUAAUCAUAAAUCAAGAGUUGACAAUUGACAAAUACAUAAUAUUAGUCAUAAUAAUGUUGGAUCACAUGUUAAUAAGGUCAAGAUUCCAGGUUUCUUUAAACGCACAACCUGCCUGCACUUCAGCCUCUGACGCAACAGUUAAUUAAACUACCGAAUCACACCAUGGGUGGUAAAAUACCAGCCAUUUUCUCUUUCGGGGAAAUGACUUAAACACAAAUGGCACAAUGACAUGCUUGAGAUGAGACUGGCCUUCUGAUCUCAGGGAGCCAUUAACACUCGGCUGUACAUUGGAGUAUUUUGUGCUGCUCAUUUACCAAAAGUACAGCAGUCAGAUAUUACACAGUAAGCCGCUUCAUUGAUUCCUUUGCACUUGUUUUAAUUUGAAAAGCCAGGAUCCAGUCGACCGAUUGAACGUAGAGGACAACGACGACAGGCGGCGCCCGCCGGUGUGGCCCGAAGCAUCCGGCGUGAACCGUCCGUGGACAAAGUCCCGCCGCCCACCUGCCUCUGGUCUCCUGAAGCGAGACGGAGAAAAUGAUCAUCCGUCUCCACAGUGACUGAGUCAAGAACGUAUCUGAAAACAUCUUUUGAAGCGAAUUAAUGAAAAUGAAAUAAAUUGUUCACCUUA